UAAAAACAAGUCGAGAACAAUUAUGAUAUAUUUUUUUAUUUAUAUAAUAUUAAUCACUAAUUUAUUUUUUUUAUUAUAUACUAAUUCAUUAGAAAAAAAUUCUGAAUCCUCUAGUAUCAAGAGGAAUUCUACACUAUCACACUUGCACCACGUCAUUAAUAACAAGCUAAUCACAUUCCUUCUUUUCAAACAAAAGUAUAAUAAAAAUAAUUUUUUACAAUCAUGGUGAGACAUAUAUCUCUAAAUGAAGAUAUUUGAUUAGUUUAUUACGCCACGUCACCAAUAUACCCGUUGCAUUCUAGAAGUUUUCCUAGUGUCAAUGGAUUUAACAAGCCUAAUAUUAAAGGACACCUGACGCAACCCUUUGAAUUGACACUAUAGACAGAUGAAUUAUAUGGCUAAUAAUGGAACACUAACUCCUACCCCCCUCUCCCCCCCCCGCCCCACCCCCCCCCACAACAAAAUAUCUCUCAGAUAAUUCAUACUAAAGUGGUCUAGGGCCGUCAACGAUCGAAUCGAACGGAUUCAAAAAAGUCAGAAUCCGAACUGACUCCAAACCAGAAAUGAAAACCUAAUGCGAAAUGUUUUAAAAUUUUAAUAUUCAAAUCCGGAUCUGACAAAAAAAUUUAAAAACCAACCUGUUUCGAAUCCGAAAUGAAACUAGAAACAAUUAUUCUUUUUUUAAUAAUUUUAAAUAUAUUUACAUUAAAUCCUAUUUUUUUUAUUAUUUUUUUUAGAUAUAUAAUGUAAAAUAAAUCGAUUCAGUACCUCGUUCGGAUAGGUAGUCAAAAUUUAUAACUGAAUCAUAUGGGUGGAUUUAUUUGAUAUCAAUUAAAUCAUAUCCUUAAGUACGAAAAUUAGUUCGUUCGUUCAAUUCAGAUAAACUUACGGAUCUCGGCUACCUAGCGGAAGCAUUUGAAUUCCUAUAAAUUUACAAGCCAGAUGAUGCAUACAACACAUUCACCUGGACAGCCAAAAGAAUGAGAAGUGAAGCAUAUUAGACCAAUGCAUUGAAACUGGAGAAAAAUCUGGCUUUGAAGGAUUGUAUGCAACAAAAAAGAUUUAAAUUUUGAAGCCUCGUUAAAUAAAAGAAAAAUGCAACCACGAACCUGUAUCAGAAUUUUGACAGUUCAUCGCUUGUUUUGCAAUAUUUUGAAGAUAGUUUGUAAUAAUCUUCGGUAGCACAGAGGCUCCGUAUAACAGUUGUUCAUUAUGCGCUUCAAAUCGACGAUCACUGGCCCGUUAGACUGGAUCUAAACAUCUUGAAAGUCUUAAAACUAAAUUUCAUAAUUUUUCGUAUCAUAUAUUAUCAACGAUAAUCUUAAAAAUGAACGGCUGAAAAUAACAAUCCUCAAAAAUGAUGAUAAAACUUGAAUUAAGAUCAGAGAUACUGAUUUAUUCAAUACUGAAUAAAAUUUCUAUAAAAUAUCAUCAAAUUUGGAUAUAUUUUACAUUAUUAGUAUUUGUUGACGUUAAUUCACAAACGCAUAAAUUACCAUUAAAUUGUCAUUGAGACCUUUUUGAUCACUAGCAAAUAAUCGCAAAGCGAAAUAGUUUCAAAUUACUUGCAUAGUGUAGAAUCAAGUUACAACGAAGUCUGAUCGUCGAUUGGAAGUCGCGCAUCAUCGAAAAUCAACUUGUAGCAAUGAGCCGUCCGUCUACCCGAAGUAUACUCAGCCUACGCUCUCUCUACUCAUUCUAAAUAUAUAUAUAUUCUAUAUAUAUAUUAUAUAUUAUAAACAUCAUUAUAUAAUAGGGAUGAAACUACUAUCAUAGUGCACAGUUAAUUAGUCUAUAUAAUUUCGACCACAUUGAAUGAAAAAAAUACGGUAGGAUACGUAGAUCUCUAGGUUAGUAAAUUGGGAUUUUUGAAUAGUAUAGAACUAGGCAGAUAAAAAAUAGUCAAAGGGUUAAAUCUAACGGCGGAAAACUCGAUAGCAUCAAACGUUUUGUGCUCUCGAUUAUCCCGGACUCACUCUCUCUCUCUCUCUCUCUCUCUCUCUCUAUAUAUAUAUAUAUAUAUAUAUAUAUUUCAAAAUAUUUCUUAAAAUUCAUUUUUACGAAAUAUUAUGUCCAAAAUGUCAUAAAAUUCUUUAAGUUCUGAUAGGAGAAUCCAACUUUUUAAGGCAAGUUAUCGAUUUCAGUAAUAUUAUAAGAUUAUAUAGUAAUUCAAAAUCUUUGAAGUUCAGAAAUUUAUUCCAAAAUGAGCUAAAAUUUAAGUUUUGUAUUUUCUUCCCGGAAAAAGUUAGUUUCACCUUACAUACGGAAGUAGAACAGUAUAACUAUACAUCCACUUUUAAAAGCUUUUUUCAUGGAGAAAAUUUAAAUUUUUUAUUUGCGAAACAUCUGAUUUAUGUUUCAUAGAAAACAUAAAAGUUGAAUUAAAAUUUACUAAAUAAGAAUUCAAUAAUAAAUUUGCUUAUCUUUUAAUAUCUCCCAAAACUUCUUAAAGAGCAUGUUGGCUAGAUUUAUUCAAGUACAUACACUGUAAAAAGUGGACCAAAUGCAACAAAAAAAAGCUGAGAAAUUUUGCAGGUUGAGCAUUUUAUUAGUUGCACCCAAAAGGCUGCUAUUCACUAGUUAAAGAUACAAAGAGGAUAAUGGACAGAGACAAAUGAGUGAGAGGAAGUGGUACCUAACAAUAUCUAAAUCAGCCAAUAGCGCCGCGCCACAUGGCUAUUGAGCAAAAAAGGAUAAGGAUUUAUAACUAUCAUCAUAAUAAUAUAUAUGACCUCUUUGAUUUUGUAUUGCCUUUUUAUACCUCCAUUUGAUGCGGCCAAUUUAGCAUUAAAAUUUAUGAGGAAGGGUGAUCGAUCCAAAUUCGAUCCGAACAUGAAUUUAUUUUACAUUAUAUAUAUAUAUAUAUAUAUAAUUAUAUAUAUAUAUAUAUAUAUUAUAUAUAUAUAUAUAAUUAGCUAGGUUAUCUUCGUAGCACGAGACCUCAGUAGCUACCAAGUUUUUUUAAUGAUGCGGCUUCAAAUCUGACGAUCGGCUUCCGUUAGACUUUGAUUACACUAUCCAAAAGUAUUUGAAAACUAAAUUUCAUAAUUUUCGUAUCAUUGUAUAUAAUCAAACGAGAUAGUCAAUAAAUGAACGCGAUUGAAAAAUAAAUCUCAUUAAAAAUUAUGAAGAAGACUUGAAUAUUAAAAUCAGCAGGUACUGAAUCUUACUUCUAAUAGCUAAAAGAAAAGAAUUUAUAUAAUAAUUUCAUCUGAUUUGGAUUGUUUUACACCGUUAAUUCACAAACGAUCACAAUCUACCAUUAAAAUUAGUCAUUUUGACCUUUUGAUCCACCAGCCAAAUGCUAUUAAAAAUUAUGAAAUUUAUUUUCAAAUACUUUUAAUAGUGUAGAUCAAGUCUAACGGAGCGAUCGUUCAAUUCAAAAGCGCGAUCAUCGAAACAACUUAGGAUAGCACGAAGGCCUCCGUGCUACCGAUAGUAUAGUAGCCUAACUCUCUCUCUCUCUUCUCUCUCUCUCUCUCUCUCUCUCUAUAUGUCACCGCCCCGGAUGACUCGUUCCCGGGCACGCCGACAAAUCCGCCGUAUACAAAGAAAUUUCCCCUGUAUACGAAGCGUCAAAGUACCUGUAGAAAUACAAUGCUACAAACAGUAGCAUAGAGCUGCUCAAAAAAAUAAGCUAAAUAUCUGAGUUUCAUAUACAUAGUUAGAAUCCAAAAUACAAAGCUACUCGCACUGGCAGUUAAACAACGAUGUACAUAAACUCCAAAACAAACUACCUGCAGUAGGGAAAGCCUCUAGCUCUGACUGUCGGGUAGAGCUCUAGCUCGCAACGCCCUUGCCUCGAUCCCUGAUCGGCAGAAGGUGCAAGCCGGCACUGGUGGCUCUGCCAAAACAUAGUAACAACUGGGCGUGAGAACUACUGUAAAAACAAGUAGUCCUCAGGGGUACCGCCCAAAACGACAUCGGUCACCCACUAAGUCUAACAGAAGGGACAAGGAUAGAAGGAAAAGCAGGAAGUACACUCUUACCGCUAUCAUCCACUACACUAUCAUCUCUACACUAACCAACUGUAGGAAAUGUCAAAUCUGACCCAAUCCAAAUCAGGACUGUAAGCAUACCCGUCCCCGGACUGUGAAUACACCCGUCCCUGCCCUGUUGCGACUAUCGGGCUCUAUCCACACUAACUGGUCCGUGGAGAGCAAGUCCAACUGGCAUGAGCGACACCAACGCGAAAGCACAAAGCCUGACUCCGGAGUGGCACUCGGUGGGCGCUACCAACCGAGUAUGCAGCGUUAUCUCUUGUCGAGCUCAAAAGGCUCUGAAAAGCCACAGUCAGAGUAACGACUCAAACUGGUCUAAACCACAACAGGGUAAUGUGCCCUCGGCACAAUCUGACGCAAAAAAGGCGGGUCACCGUCAACUUGACGGACCCACUAGCGAAACAACCUGAACGAUCCUGUAAAAAUCCACUCGGCGCACCAGCACGAGCGUAAUGUAAUCUAAACUACCUGGAGUACUCGUCUCGAAGAUACUGCCGACAGUACAAUUUAAUAACGGCUCCUAGAGCUAAAUCAGGCAGUUUAAACAAGUGACACGGUCCAAAUCGCAGGUUUUUCCUAAUUCAAUUUCAGUCCAACAUGUAUAACCUACUUAAUUUAUUAUCACAUGCUCCAAAUUCAAUUUACAAUACAAUAUAAUCCAUGAAUUCGAGCUAGAAUAGAGUAUCCAAAGGUCGACGAAAUUAUACAUGCCGACGAAUAUGAAUUUUAGGAGUAAAAACCGAUGUAACCCACCUCUCAAGCAACUCCUGGCAGCGAAGAAAGCGUUAAAUCCGAUCAAGCUAACCUUAUCCAAAUUCAGCAAACAAGGGUCCUGAAGCUUCGUCUCGAAGUCACGAAUCCAAUGGCCCAGGUUUCGCUGAAUUCCAACGCUCCUACGCAGAGAACGGGCCAGAGUACGAAACGUCGACGCUCGAACCUGCGAAACAGCAUCUCUGAAAUCUGCUCGGCAAACAGCAGCCUAGUAAAACUAGGGUUCGACAGGGCAAACCUGCUCCAAAAAUCGCGAUCUUGGGCUCAGAAUCUUCGUCUUGAAGUCGUGAAUCUAGCACGUUAAAUUUCGUCGCGUUUCGACACUUCUACACAGAGAACUAGGUAAAACACGGCGGGUCGAUGCUGGAAUCAGCAAUCAGCACUUCAGAGUCUGCUCGGCAAACAGCAACUCAGUAAAAAGGGAUUUUGACAGAACAAACCUUCUCCAAAUCGGGCGAGUAAGGAUCCUAUGGAUUCGUCUCGAAGUCCCGGUUCCAACGAACCAAAUCUCGUCGAAAUCCGAUGGUCCUACGUCGCAUACGAGCUGAAAUACUAAUAGUCGACGACAAGAUCCUGCGAAUCAGUACUUAAGCUCGAAUUGAAUGAAGCUUGAAGUAGAGAAGAAAUCCAUGGAGGAAUGAGAGAUUACCCACCUCAACCAGCGACUCCAAUUCCGGCACGGCGUCGAGAAUGACGAAAUCACACCUUCGCCCGGCCUCCUCACAAUGCUACGACGACGAACGCACGCUCGAACGGCACCGCGGCGCAACGUCGACGACAAAAACCUCCCGAGCUCGAGCUCUCCACCGUGCCCACGAGCUAACAUAAAGAGAGAGAGGAUAGCAACCUUAAUUAGUAGCACCUGCCAUCUUAUCCUAAUUAAGGCGGUGGGAUAAGGUUGAAAGGUGACAAUUAUCCAAAAGCCCCUCACCUAUUACGAUAUUCAACUUUAGUCCUCUACUUUGAAACUUGAGUUUUAAAGUCUGUUUUUUUACGUCUAUUCUGCGCCAAACGUCUCGAGCUCAAUCAAGCAUAACUUAUACUAUAACCUUACUAAUUUGCUAAGGUUUAGUAUCUCACACUAUAAUAGUAUAUAUCAAUAUAUUAAAUUAUAUAUAUAUAUAUAAUUAGGCUGGAAUACUAUUAAUAGUAAAACGCUCUUUUUACUAUCAAAUUUUUAACCCUUGGAUGAAAAAUUGUAGGGUCGGAAUGAUAUUAGUUGGUUAGAGUUGAGUGGUCCCCCUAGGGUUGAGUGGUUCCCACUGGGUUAUAGUAUUUAAUCCAAUGGUUAGAAAUAAUGAAAAGAGUUGAUCCAAAGGCUAAAAAACUGAUAGCAACAAUGGAAUUUUGCUACUAAUAGUAGCCCAGUCCAACUCUAUAUAUAUAUAUAUAUAUAUGUGUGUGUGUGUGGUGUUCGAUGAACCAGUUUAGAGUUGAUCAAUAAUUGUUUUUCUCUUUUCGAAGAAAUGACUUAUUUCUAUAUAUCUCUCUACUUCUGCUUCUUCUCUCUCAAUAGGUCUUGAGCUUCCUCACCAUUGCUCUCUUCUCAAACAGAAAGAUUCAAGUUUUUGACUAUACAGUGGAAAGCCUAAAUGUAAUAUACUUUUGAGCUUUAAAGUACUUUUUAAAAGGCUAAAUUACACUUUUGGUCUUCAAAUUAUGACACUAUGACUUAUUGCAAUUUGUACCUUAAACUUUCUAAAUUGUUAUAUUCAAAUCUUAUACUCAAUUGAAUUAACUAAGUAUUAAUAUAUUUCUAAUAUAAAAGUAAUGUAGUAGCAUCAUAUUGACGACGUGAUAAUAAUUAAUAUAUCACAUUAUUUUUAUAUUAAUAAUUUGUCAAUAUGUAGCCAAAUAAUUAAUUAGGUUGAAACACUUGAUUGCAACAAUUUACACAGUUUAGGCCAGAAAUGGCAACAAAUUAAAAUUAAAAUUUAAAACUAAAGGGUCACACGUCUUAUAGUUUGAGAAUCAAAAGUGCUCGCAAUUUAUAUCGUUUAAAGUGGUUAUUUGACAAAUAAAUUCGUAUUCACUUUUUUAUUCUUUGAAGAAAAUAUCUUCCGAGUUAUGGUGCAUUACAAAUCCAGCCAAUAAUGAUUAAAAAAAAAAUUUAAAAAAAAAGAAAGUUUAUCUGCUGACUUUCCAACUGCUGAAAAAUUUUGAUUACAAAAAUUAAAAAGAACAAUAACAUUAUAUGAUGUUAUAAAACUUCUGUGUUCAAUUAUAUUAAGAAUUACAAACAAUAAUUUAAUGUAAAAAAAGAGUUUAGUACAUCUAUAAAUAUUCUGUAGCAUAAAAUACUCUUUGCAAAAGCUGAUCAUGGCAAACAACAAAACCUGUGAAUCCCACAUGCAAAGUGUCAUCUAAAUCUAUUAGAAAAAGAGGGUUUCUAAGUUCAAUAAAAUAUUUGGGACUCAGAUUGAGCAAAGUAGAGGGAUUGGGACAAUUCCUGGCUCUGUUUUUAUAUUCUAUGGACUAACACAUAUACUUAAUUUUCCACUGAACUAUACAGGCUCUGUAUGUGUACUAUGUUGUCUUCUUCUGUGUCAUGCAAUAAAUUCUAGUGUCUACACCAAUGAGGAAUCAUUCUCUAUACCAGGUCCACAAUGAACCAACUCUUUAAAAUUUCAAUUUAGAUGCUUUAAAGCAAAAUUUUAAGCUAUUGCAUGUGAUCUAAGUCAGCAAAAUGGUCUCCACCUCAAAAAUCAUAAUUUGUAAGAACAAAUUUGUCAUGAAAUGAACAGAACAAUCCCCCUUUCCACAUUACAAAUGUUUGGGAUUAUCUGAUAAUAAGAUAUAAAUGUUUAGUAGGACUUGUUCAAUCCUUAUCCAAUUGAGUGGCUAGUCAAUGUGGAGCAAUUAAAAGCUGUUGAAUCUACUGUUGCGCUUGCAUUAAGUCAACGAAAACUCCAUUUUACAAUUGUGGGCCGCAACAAUGAGUAAGAUGCUGACUAAAUAGGCCGUACACUAUUACAAAUAUUGAUCAUAUUUAAUAGUUUAGAUUUAAAUUCCGAGGGCUCCAAAUUUGAAAUAAAUACGCCAGCUUUGACUGAUGUGGCAGACCAGCUCAAGGCAAUAAUCUGUCCUACACUGCAGCCAGAGUCAUCACGACAACAAAUUUAGAAUGCACCGAUUAUAUUAUUGACAUGACAUGUCUCAACCAAUAAGAUUGUUUUUUUUAGGCUCACCGGUCCUAUUAUGAUUAAUAAAAAAAUAUUUUUGCUAUAUUUUUUUUAAAAAAAAAUUAUAAUUAAUUUGUUAUUAAUGACGUGGUGCAAGUGUGAUACAGUAGGCUUUUUGGAGCCAUCACAUGAGUACGAAAAACUCCCGUGACAGAUUGGUGUAGGGACACUUUUUAAAAGAAAAGGAGAGAUAUUAAAUGAUAUGAUUUGUAUACACACCAACCACUAUUGAAUGAGAAUAUGACGAGGUAAUGGACUUUGGAUUUGGACCACUACUUGCAAACCCUAUUAUAAAAAAGAAAAAAAAAAAAAACCAUAAAACCCUUUGUCAGAUUCCUUCUGUAUUCAGCAGCUGUAAACGGUUUUGGUGCCAAGCUUCUUGAAUAUGUUUCUCUGAUGGAGAAGAUAGAAGCAGUUAUUUCAAAAGGUUAAUUUUAUAUAGGUUCAUGCAAAUAUAGUAAAUAAUAAAUAUAUCCCAAUAAAGUUUAAUUUUUAUAUAUUAUUUCUAUAAAAAUUCUGAUAUUUUUAAAUAUAUCUUUCUAGUUUGUUACCGUUAAAGAACCAUUAAAAAAUUAUUUACAUUUCCAAUUUUGCGAUCACAAAUAUGAUCUUUUAAAAAUCAUAACAGUAUAAUAUAAGAAGGAUAAAAAUAUCAAAAAUUAAUUAAAAUAAAGUAUUUAACCUACGGUUAACUAUAUUUUUUUAAUAGAUUCUAACGGAAGGGACAUAUUUGAAAAUAACAGAAUUUUUAUAGAAACAACAUAUGAAAGUUAUCUGUCUAUCUUUUACCUAUUUUUUCGUGUGCCUAUUAUUUCAAUCCAAUCGUACAACACUCAACAUCAUCCUCUACACU
rnacentral:lncRNA from 1 species